AGACGGUAGAACUAACAAACAUCCCGCCAGUGCUGACGGCGGUGCAGACGGUGACCCCGGUGCGGGACUUCUUCUCCGCGCAGCAGCUCAUCAGCGUGAGUGCGGCGGGACUCUACACUGUGGCCGUGGAGGCCGCCUUCGUGGACGAACAGGGAGAGCUCUGGAACACCGGCCCGAGGACCUCUAUUGUCAUCAAGGCCCACGAAGAACCCACAGCGAAAGGCAACGCGCAAACAACAAGAGGGAGAUUUUGAAAUAAGAAGAAACAUUAGGUUAAGUAGACAAAAUGAAAUACAAUUUUGUAGUGUACUAUGCAAAUUGGUAGUAUAAUAAUGUAGAUAGGAAAAUGUAAUGCAUCAGUUAUAAAUAACAUGAAACAACGCAGCAGGAUAGAGGUAUUAACAGUAGUAAUAUCUACAAAUGGUGUAAUUAGUGACUUCACUAAACAUAUAAAAUAAAAUAAAUAUCGGAUGAUUGAAAAAUCAGCCUUUAAAUAGCUUCUCAAAAAUAAAAUAAUGGUAAUAUUACGAAACACCUGAUUUACCAUUUCAAGUAAAUUGUGACUACAAUUAAGUAAUGACCUUCUUAAUCGAAUAAUUAAAUAGUUUUCAAUCUAUAAUUAAACAUUGUACCUACCCAAUGUGGGCCCCGUAUAUUAGUUUAUGCAUUUAUAAGUCGUCAAUAAUAUUACUAUCAAUAAAAAAAUAUGAAAAGCUCUAUUAUAUAAGACGUUAAAUAUUUUAUUAUUACUUAUACGAUAUUAUUACUUAUACAAUACCGGAUAGGAGUUAUACCAUUAUUUCAAAAUUCCAUACCAUUUGAUAUUUUCAUAUUACCACCAUUAUGCUACAUACGAUAUAUUUUGCUAAAAUGGGCUAGACAGCCUGAAAUAUUAUUUUGUAAUCUACCAAAAUUGUUUGCCCUGUAUUAUUUUUAGUUACAGUUUAGCAAUAAUUUUAAAACAAUUGGAUCCUCUUUUAUCCGGUCCUACCCCAACUCACCCUUUUGUACUUAGACAGUGGAUAUGGCGGUGCUGGUUUCGGUUUGUGAUCGGCAAUUAGUUGGUUUGUCGGAAAUUUUAUUCCAAAUCUGUUUUGCAACAUGCUUGAAGUGUUUCAAAAGUAUAGCUACAAGAACAUAUAGACAUGAAAGAGAAAAUAAAUAUUACUCUAAAAAUGACAUGCGAAUAUGUAUUUUUUUUUUUAAGAAUAUUAAAUAGAAUGCCAAGACUCGAGGGCAUAGAUCUAGAAAUAUAAUCCUAGAAUUAAAUAUGAUAUAUUUUUAUUUUUAAAUAAUGUAACAUUUAACGAACUUCUAGUAUGUUCAUAUCAAGUCGAAAAUCUGCAAUAUUUAAUGACUUUAUUCUUCCAAUAUUGCAAAUAUUUUUGCACAGAUAUAAUUAUCACAAUAUAGUUGAAACUAGAUUGUUUAGCUCAUUACAGUUAAUGACAUAAACUCAAAUAAGUUUAUAUUUAAUUAUUGUAACAUAAUAAAACAUGUCUCUUAUCAAUGUAAUCUCGCAAUAAACAAGUAAAAGGACAAA